rnacentral:snRNA from 1 species
ACGGUUUUGAAAGUUAGUAACUC